UACGAAGGGGGCUAGCGUUGUUCGGAUUUACUGGCGUAAAGCGCACGUAGGCGGUUUGUUAAGUCAGGGGUGAAAUCCCAGAGCUCAACUCUGGAACUGCCUUUGAUACUGGCAAGCUCGAGUCCGGAAGAGGUAAGUGGAACUCCUAGUGUAGAGGUGGAAUUCGUAGAUAUUAGGAAGAACACCAGUGGCGAAGGCGGCUUACUGGUCCGGAACUGACGCUGAGGUGCGAAAGCGUGGGGAGCAAACAGG
rnacentral:rRNA from 1 species